rnacentral:pre_miRNA from 1 species
GUGUGGUGGGAAUGGGAGAUUGGAGCAGUUAGAAGUUAUGGGAAUGGGUUGUUUGGAAAGAAAUCAUAUAUUAUUUUCCCUUCCAGUUCCACCCAUUCCCCUUAUUUCUAAUUUCUCCUCCCUUUCCCUACCUUCA